rnacentral:rRNA from 1 species
AGAGUUUGAUCCUGGCUCAGGACGAACGCUGGCGGCGUGCUUAACACAUGCAAGUCGAACGCUCCUAGAGGUUGGAGAUUAGAGGUUAGAAGCUGGAUUUAAAGCCCGUGUUUCGGGCGGCGGGCUAAAAGGAAAGCCCGAGGUCUAAUUUCCGACUUCCAAUCUCCAACCUCCAGAAGAGAGUGGCGCACGGGUGAGUAACACGUGGGCAAUCUGCCCGGAAGACUGGGAUAACAGCGCGAAAGUGCUGCUAAUACCGGAUACCUUCACGAAGUCGCAUGACUUUGUGCAGAAAGUUUUUCGCUUCCGGAUGAGCCCGCGUCCCAUUAGCUAGUUGGUGAGGUAACGGCCCACCAAGGCGACGAUGGGUAGCUGGUCUGAGAGGACGAUCAGCCACACUGGAACUGAGACACGGUCCAGACUCCUACGGGAGGCAGCAGUGGGGAAUCUUGCGCAAUGGGCGAAAGCCUGACGCAGCAACGCCGCGUGAACGAUGAAGGCCUUCGGGUCGUAAAGUUCUGUCAAGGGGGACGAUAAUGACGGUACCCUUGGAGGAAGCCCCGGCUAACUACGUGCCAGCCGCCGCGGUAAUUC